UGAGCCUUCACUUCCAGGUCAAAUUGAACAGGUGAGGCUCUGCUCAUAUUUUUUUGUUUGUGCUCAGGGGAUUCAGACGGAGAAAAGCGAGUGUGAGAAGACAAGCGUGAGAAGACGAGUGUGAGAUUCCUUGUCACUGGCUCAAAUGUGACCAGCUGAUAGCGCAGCAUCCGCCAGGGCAGACCGAGGCGCAUCACACUCUCCACCGCAGAGGCCCAGUCAGUCAGAGACACGAGACCUGACGCAGGGAGGAAGAGAGAAAGGAAGUCCUCUGUGACGUCGGGGCCCCAGUAGCAGCCUCCGCCCCGCACUUCGUUGGGCAUGCAGCCGUCCUGGGUCAUCGGGUCGCUCCACACGAUGCUUGGAGCUGAACCACCACCAAGUACUGGAGCCAGACGAGACUAUCAACUGUCACAGCCUGCGCUUAAGGUGAUGACGGAGGGUUGAAAAGCAGCUUGAACUGACGGCAGAGGGAUUAAUGGUACAGUGGAUUUACAGCACGUUAAAGCCCAGGCAGACAACAACCCACAGCUCUGAGCUCUGAGAGUCACUAACUAAAUAUCUCAUGUGGGGAAACUUGAUGGCCAGAGAACAACAAACUCCCUGACAGAGCAAAAACAAUAAAACAAAUCAUGACCUUCAUUCCUAAAGUUGAAAAUGGACUGUCUCCUCCUGCGGAUCUCCAGCUCGUCCUCCGUGUUCGCUUUGAGCCGGUCAGAGAAGUCCUGCAGGGAGCGGUUCUGGAAGCUGUCGCGGGUUCCCAGAGGUUUGGGAUA